CAGCAUGUUUCCAAGGUUCAUGGCUGUUCGUAGCCAUGGGAUCUCCAACUGCAUGCAAGAAUAGCCUGGAGAGACUUUGACAGCACAGGUCAGCAUAAUACCUGUAGCUGCCACUCAACUUUCCUAUAUUU
rnacentral:snoRNA from 1 species